GGGGACGUUUAGUGACGUCAUGGCCCAUUGAUGCACUAUGAUGUGCCAAUAAUGACUUGUUCAGCUUCCAUAGUGCUUAAGCAGACGUUUAAUAAUUACUGGGAUCCAGGCUGGAGGAGAGAGCCCAGCUCAAUAAAUUCGAAUCUGCGUUUAAGGAGGCAGCGCAACAUGAAGGUCAAAGGAUUGAGCCGUUAUUUGAUUUUGAGCUUUUGACAAACUUGUAUCCAGUCAGCCACCUUCAGCUCAGAAUCUAGACCUUUCAAAGACACAGACCAGCUUAUGAGAAAUGAAGAUAAUAUCCAGCUGAGUGAUAUUGCUUGUGUUUGCUUCAGUGCACCUCUCAUUAAGGUUUUUUGUAAUACAUUUAAUGUUGUAUUUGUGGAUUUUAGUCUAUUAUUACCUAUUUACCUAUUAUUAACCCUGGAUGGUACAUAAUAUGGUAAGAACCAUUUAGAACAUGUUUCUAAAGUGAUUUGCAUUGAGCAUCCCUUUAUUUUUACAGCAUCCCAGCCUUCUUUUAGAGACAAAACUAGCUCCCUUCUGCAUGCUGCCUUUAUGUUUUAAGAUGAUUUUAUUUUGGAUAAGCAUAGCAAUGAGCCUUUCAUACACCUUAUUUGUGCCAGUUGCCAUACAUGCAUACUAGAUGAAAAUAUAUAUGUGCACCAAAAAAGUAAGCCACAAGUAAGCCAGAUUACUGUGAGUUAUUUGCUGCGAUCCGAAGGUUAGGCAAGGGGAUGGGAUUUUUGGGAGAUUUGUCACCUCAAUGAGUCUCCUCAUUUGCCAAUACUCUUAAUUCUUUUUUUCCACUCUACUUAUAUGAACUACCCCAGUUUACCAGUACAUUCUUUUAAUCAGAGUGGAAUGAAUAAAUAAAUAAAAAAAUAAAAAAAUAAACCACUUACAGUAAUUUGCCCCCAACCACCAAAGGCUACAAAUCACCCCAUGUGCAAAUACCCUUAAAAUGCCAUGGUAUUUUGAAUCAGUAAUUGAUAAACACAUUUAGAAAAUAUCAUCAGAUAUCUUAUCAUAAAUUUAGAUUUCAUAUGUCUGUAUUGUUUUCAAUUUCAAAUGCUUAUGUUUACUUUGCCUUACCCUUUUCUCUCUUUUACUCCUAGUUAAAUCUGCCAUCUCCAAACAGCAAUGUAGUUCAUGUGCGGGUAGCGAUGUUUUAAGGAGCCUUUCAGUUUAAAGGUGAUUCAUCAUGCACGGAUUCUGAGUUUUUGUUUAUUGUAGGCUUAUGGCACAUGUAGUGUUUUCCUGCCUGUGGCAGCCUGAUUUAAAUGUAGACUACCUGUCAACAGGUGACAGCUGGACUUUUAACAAUAUUUAAGUUAAUUCAUAUUGUAACAUAAAGAUAAUGACAAGCAAGUGAAUUACUACUAUAGUAGUAUUGCUUAUUCAAUCUCUCACGCUUAUUUAAAUAAAUUUUUCUUCCGUGGAGCAGGUAUAAUGUAUGCAGAUAAUCUUUCUGUAAGGUAUAUCUCAUAAGAUACUGUAAGAAUAUGAGAAAAAAAAAUUGACAAUUUUUUUUUAAGAAAUAUAACUAACUCCAACUCCAAGGCCAAUUUAAAAAUCAUUAAAACAAUAAUUUUUUUUUAAAUACUGUACUUUCAGAAAUAUAAUCACAUUCCUGUUCCAAAUUAAAUGUAUAAUUAUGAAGAGUAAAUAAGGUAUUUACUUGACCAAUCAAGAAUUACACAUUCUCCAUACUGAGGAUUUAGAGUCUCUUCCAACCUUCCAACGCCACCACCCACAGCAAUAUCUAUAUCAAGGAUGGAAUUAAAGACUAUUCCUUCAAAUGUCAUCUUCCAACAUGUAAGCUUAUUUGGGAGAACAUACUGUGAGCAUAGUAGUUCCAUUAAACUACAUAUUCAACCCCUAUUUAAAAAAGACAAACAUUAUUGUUCCAAAUGCAAUAACUUGGCAAGCAGCUGUAUGUACAGUAUUAGCAUUUCACAAUUAACAAGAUUAGCCUAGCCUACAAGUAUCUGAUUAGUAUGAUGAAUCAAUAAAUAAUCAAAGGCAGGCCCCGUGACUGCUAUUUUAGCAGUGUGUUGGAGGCCACUACAACAGGAAGUAGAUAUAUAGCCUGCUUGAAGUACUCUGUGUCAACUGAGAGCUGGAAAAAACCUACCAAGGACCAACUGUAUGAAUCUUCCGAGAAACUGGUACCUUUGUUAAUUGUUAUUAUAUUUGAUUUUUCCUUAUGAAGUGUAUUUUUCUUUGUGCAAAUAAUUCUGUUAUGUCUUUAAUUGAAACAUUUUUUCUAUAUUUAAUUUGUCUCAACUUAAUUUUGUAAAAAAGUACUUAGAGUAUUUAAUAAUGUUUUCAAAUAUUAAAAAAUCACACAGGAA